CAUUAGAUGGCUGAAAGCAAAGCAUUGGUCUCUUAAACCAUUUUAUAGUACCUAGCAAUUACUUCUAAUGA
rnacentral:tRNA from 1 species